CCGAGUAUCGCUACUCUGGGUCACACCAGAGUUAGUAACUCUCACCCCUUGUUUUUAAACAUACUAUCAUUAUUUCGGUAAGCCAAUGGAGUUCGCUCCAUUCUUUGGCAUUAGCGAUUGAGUGCUUACCGAAAGUAUAAAACUCUUAUAAUUGUUUGUCUGAGGUGGUCUUAAAAAAAUAA
rnacentral:misc_RNA from 1 species